GGAGGGGGCAAGCGUUGUUCGGAAUUACUGGGCGUAAAGGGCGCGUAGGCGGCUUUUUAAGUCGGUGGUGAAAUCCCGUGGCUCAACUGCGGAAUGGCCAUCGAUACUGGAAAGCUUGAAUCCGGAAGAGGUCGGCGGAAUUACUGGUGUAGCGGUGAAAUGCGUAGAUAUCAGUAGGAACACCGAUGGCGAAGGCAGCUGGCUGGACCGGUAUUGACGCUGAGGCGCGAAAGCGUGGGGAUCAAACAGGAUUAGAUACCCUGGUAGUCCACGCCCUAAACCAUGGAUACUUGGUGUGACCACCGCAGUGGUGGUUGUGCCGAAGCUAACGCAUUAAGUAUCCCGCCUGGGGAGUACGAUCGCAAGAUUG
rnacentral:rRNA from 1 species